rnacentral:rRNA from 1 species
AAAACGACUCUCGGCAACGGAUAUCUCGGCUCUCGCAUCGACGAAGAACGUAGCGAACUGCGAUACUUGGUGUGAAUUGCAGAAUCCCGUGAACCAUCGAGUCUUUGAACGCAAGUUGCGCCCGAAGCCAUUAGGCCGAGGGCACGUCUGCCUGGGCGUCACGC